rnacentral:lncRNA from 1 species
CCACUACAUGCAAGGGUUGGGGGUGUGAUUUUACAAUUAUACCAUCCAUUGCCAUGAUUUUUAUUUUUUAAUGUCUAUCUCUACUCGUCAUGUUUAUUUCAAAAAGCUACAUCUUAUUUGAACUAGGAGAUAAAUUUAAUUCAAAUUUUCAUCUUACUACUAUAAAUACAGAUCUUGUAUAUUAGUUUAUCAUGGAUCAACGAAAAAAUAGAAUCUAGAUCUUAUUCUCAUC